GGCGGCGUAGCUCAGUCGGUUAGAGCGUAGGACUCAUAAGCCUAAGGUCACAAGUUCGAUUCUUGUCGCCGCUACCA
rnacentral:tRNA from 1 species